GAUGAACGCUAGCGGCAGGCUUAAUACAUGCAAGUCGAACGGCAGCGGGUCUAGCAAUAGAUGCCGGCGAGUGGCGCACGGGUGCGUAACACGUAUGCAAUCUACCCAUAAUUGGGAAAUAGCUCUCCGAAAGGAGAAUUAAUGUCCCAUAAGAUCGUAGAGUGGCAUUAUUUAGAGAUUAAAGAUUUAUCGAUUAUGGAUGAGCAUGCGGUUGAUUAGCUAGUUGGUGAGGUAAUGGCUCACCAAGGAGACGAUCAAUAGGGGUUCUGAGAGGAAGGUCCCCCACACUGGUACUGAGAUACGGACCAGACUCCUACGGGAGGCAGCAGUAGGGAAUAUUGGGCAAUGGAGGCAACUCUGACCCAGCCAUGCCGCGUGAAGGAAGAAGGCGUUAUGCGUUGUAAACUUCUUUUAUACGGGAAGAAACGACCCUUGCGAGGGGAAUUGACGGUACCGUAUGAAUAAGCACCGGCUAACUCCGUGCCAGCCGCCGCCGUAACAC
rnacentral:rRNA from 1 species